CAGAUACUCCCUCCGUCCCAUAUUAAGUGACUUUCUGUGACAUGUAUCUAGACGUAUUUUAGUAUAUAGAUACGUCCAUAUUUAGACAAAUUUGAGUCACUUAAUAUGGGAAAGAGGGAGUAUUAA
rfam:Brachypodium distachyon strain Bd21 chromosome 1, whole genome shotgun sequence.